AUUGAACGCUGGCGGCAGGCCUAACACAUGCAAGUCGAGCGAGCGGCAGACGGGUGAGUAAUGUAUGGGGUACUGCCCGACAGAGGGGGAUAACUACUGGAAAUGGUGGCUAAUACCGCACACUUUCGGAUGAACCCACAUGGGAUUAGCUAGUAGGUGGGUUAAAGGCUCACCUGGGCGAAGAUCUCUAGCUGGUCUGAGAGGAUGAUUAGCAACGCUGGGACUGAGACACGUCCCAGGCUCCUACGGCAGGCAUACGUGGGGAAUCUUGCACAAGGAGCACAAGCCUGAUGCAGCCAUGCCGGGUGUAUGAAGAGGGCCUUCGGGUUUUAAAGUACUUUCAUCGGGGAAGCGUUACCCGCAGAAGAAGCACCGGCUAACUCCGUGCCAGCAGCCGCGGUAAUAC
rnacentral:rRNA from 1 species